rnacentral:rRNA from 1 species
AACGAACGCUGGCGGCAUGCCUAACACAUGCAAGUCGAACGAGAUCUUCGGGUCUAGUGGCGCACGGGUGCUUAACGCGUGGGAAUCUGCCCUUCGGUUCGGAAUAACAGUUGGAAACGACUGCUAAUACCGGAUGAUGACGAAAGUCCAAAGAUUUAUCGCCAGAGGAUGAGCCGGCGUAGGAUUAGCUAGUUGGUGUGGUAAAGGAGCACCAAGGCGACGAUCCUUAGCUGGUCUGAGAGGAGGAUCAGCCACACUGGGAAUUAGACACGGCCCAGCCUCCUACGGGAGGAAGCAGUGGGGAAUAUUGGACAAUGGGCGAAAGCCUGAUCCAGCAAUGCCGCGUGAGUGAUGAAGGCCUUAGGGUUGUAAAGCUCUUUUACCCGGGAUGAUAAUGACAGUACCGGGAGAAUAAGCUCCGGCCAACUCUGUGCCAGCCGCCGCCGUAA